rnacentral:misc_RNA from 1 species
UAGAUAUCAUGUUUCAUCUUGAGAAAGCGCACUUCAUGCUGGAGGAAAUGGUAAUGAAUGGGUGUAUUGUUGAGACAAGCAAGGCGAAUAUUUUGACUCCAAUCCAACUAAUGGACAAAGCAUCAUAAGAAUUCACAAAAGGUUUCGAAGCAUCACGGUGAACCAUUUGUUUUGUGAAGUGUUUGUAUGAGGAAAACAAUCUUUAUUUCCAUUACAAUGCUAUGCAUCUGCUUUGACAACAUGUAAGGAGGAUUUUAUUGCUUUGGUUAUUUUACUUGUUUGACUUGGGAGUUUUUGAUAGUAUGCUGCUUGCUG